rnacentral:rRNA from 1 species
GGACGAACGCUGGCGGCGUGCUUAACACAUGCAAGUCGAACGAUGAACUCCAGCUUGCUGGGGGGAUUAGUGGCGAACGGGUGAGUAACACGUGAGUARCCUGCCCUGGACUCUGGGAUAACCCCGAGAAAUCGGAGCUAAUACCGGAUAGGACCCUGUACCGCAUGGUGUGGGGUGGAAAGUUUUUUCGGUCUGGGAUGGACUCGCGGCCUAUCAGCUUGUUGGUGAGGUAAUGGCUCACCAAGGCGUCGACGGGUAGCCGGCCUGAGAGGGUGACCGGCCACACUGGGACUGAGACACGGCCCAGACUCCUACGGGAGGCAGCAGUGGGGAAUAUUGCACAAUGGGCGCAAGCCUGAUGCAGCAACGCCGCGUGCGGGAUGACGGCCUUCGGGUUGUAAACCGCUUUUAGUAAGGAAGAAGGGGAGCUUGCUCCUUGACGGUACUUGCAGAAAAAGGACCGGCUAACUACGU